CACCUUCUACAAGGUUAAAACUUCUCAGCAACACUUGAAGGCUCUCUCUUGGGAUGAACAGAAUAUUCACCUGUGUUUGGAGCUGCUGCUGUAACAUAUUUGUCACUGUCUAUUGCCAAGGCAACAGAAUAUGCAUGUCUGAAGAAAUAAGAAGACAAGGCAUCUGUGCUGCAGACAACCAGCCAAAAUGAUGACGUUUUUAGCCACAGGAAGAGGAGGAUCUGAUGCGCUACGUUUAUAAUCAGGAGUUCAGCGUUAAAAUCCUACUUCAGACAAAACUGGACAGCAUGUUCUGGGUUUGUGCCCAUUGCCUCUCGUCCUGUCACUGGGCACCACUGAGGAGAGUCUGCCUCCAUCGUCCUUACACCCUGCCGUCAGUUAACCUGCUUCAGGGAGGGUGAAGGCUGAGGAAGACAAGGAAAAUACAGGCAAUCACUGGUGGAUCUACCCCUCAGCCAGAGGAUUCCCCUAAACUCACAAGAUUGUAGCAGAGUUUCAAAGGAUAUGCCAGUCUGCUGGAUGGCUGGUAGCGAAUACUGCAGAAGCUUCGCCACGCAGACCUCCUUCUUCCUCCCUCAGGCUGCCGUGGUCUGAAUAUAUCACAAUGUCACAGGUGAAUUAAAAGGAGCGUUCUCUCCAACUUUUUUAUGCAACAUAUGCCAUUCCAAUAGAAAAGUGGAAAACCGUUAGUUUAUAUCCUCUACUAUCUAGGGCAAGCAGGUGUAUGAAUUAUAUUUUCCAAACGUAAGAACUCAAAAUCAGAUUUUCUCUUCAACACUGAAAAACUAUAUAUUGUAAAGCAUCUAUUAGUUUACCAACAGCGGUGUCCUCUGCUGCAGAGAAAAAGUGUGCAUGUUGUACAUCUUUCAAUGCCAUCUACUGUAACCACACUGAAAAGAAAAUACUGCACGUGAAGUUUUCUGCCUUAUAGCAACAAUGUGCUGCUUAUAAUCCUCUUAUUGACUAAAGCAGAUGGAAUCAUUUUCAGUGUCUCUAUCCAAAAAGCAUAAAAGAUUUAAGUCUAAAAGCUGAACAUCCAAACAUAAAUGAUAGUCAGUUGAGAAAAAGAAGUCAACUCAAAUUGGCUUUAGAAUUUCCUGUGCAGCCUUAAUGGAGUGCCUGACAAGGCCUUGUACUCAUCAACCGAUUUAUGCAUAGGAUCACACUCAUUUCCAUUAAUCAUAAAUAAAUAUGUAGUGUAUGGUGUCCCUGUGUGCACAGAUCUAUACGGAAAUGGACUUGGGAUCUUUCGCUCUCAAAGAAUGACAAGAAAUGGCCUAGAAGAAAGACUGACUGCCGCUAUA